UACGUAGGCAGCGAGCGUUGUUCGGAGUUACUGGGCGUAAAGGGUGUGUAGGCGGUUGUUUAAGUUUGGUGUGAAAUCUCCCGGCUCAACUGGGAGGGUGCGCCGAAUACUGAAUGACUUGGAGUGCGGGAGAGGAGAGUGGAAUUCCUGGUGUAGCGGUGAAAUGCGUAGAUAUCAGGAGGAACACCGGUGGUGUAGACGGCUCUCUGGACCGUAACUGACGCUGAGGCGCGAAAGCUAGGGGGGCAAACAGG
rnacentral:rRNA from 1 species